AUGCGUAGGGGGCGAGCGUUGUCCGGAAUGAUUGGGCGUAAAGGGCGCGUAGGCGGCCCGGUAAGUCUGGAGUGAAAGUCCUGCUUUUAAGGUGGGAAUUGCUUUGGAUACUGUCGGGCUUGAGUGCAGGAGAGGUAAGUGGAAUUCCCAGUGUAGCGGUGAAAUGCGUAGAGAUUGGGAGGAACACCAGUGGCGAAGGCGACUUACUGGACUGUAACUGACGCUGAGGCGCGAAAGUGUGGGGAGCAAACAGGAUUAGAUACCCUGGUAGUCCACACUGUAAACGAUGAAUGCUAGGUGUAGGGGGUAUCGACCCCUUCUGUGCCGCAGUUAACACAAUAAGCAUUCCGCCUGGGGAGUACGGCCGCAAGGUUGAAACUCAAAGGAAUUGGCGGGG
rnacentral:rRNA from 1 species